rnacentral:rRNA from 1 species
GACGUAGGGCGCGAGCGUUGUCCGGAAUUAUUGGGCGUAAAGAGCUCGUAGGCGGCUUGUCGCGUCGACUGUGAAAACCCGCGGCUCAACUGCGGGCCUGCAGCCGAUACGGGCAGGCUAGAGUUCGGUAGGGGAGACUGGAAUUCCUGGUGUAGCGGUGAAAUGCGUAGAUAUCUGGAGGAACACCGGUGGCGAAGGCGGCAUCCUGGACCAAUAUUGACGCUGAGGAGCGAAAGCCAGGGGAGCAAACGGG